rnacentral:rRNA from 1 species
GUGCCAGCAGCCGCGGUAAUACGUAGGGUGCGAGCGUUAAUCGGAAUUACUGGGCGUANAGCGUGCGCAGGCGGUUUGCUAAGACCGAUGUGAAAUCCCCGGGCUCAACCUGGGAACUGCAUUGGUGACUGGCAGGCUAGAGUAUGGCAGAGGGGGGUAGAAUUCCACGUGUAGCAGUGAAAUGCGUAGAGAUGUGGAAGAAUACCGAUGGCGAAAGCAGCCCCCUGGGCCAAUACUGACGCUCAUGCACNGAAGCGUGGGGAGCAAACCAGGAUUAAAUACCCUGGGAAUCC